CUGAGGUCUGGUAAAAGGUUUGAGGCUGACGUGAGGUCUUUUGGUGAUGCUGUAGGCCUGUUAGAAAUUAUUUUCUGUAAGUAAUAAUUAUUUUGUAUUUCUUCCAGUCUACCAGAAGAAAAUACCUCCCAGUAACCUACAGUCAGAAGUCUACAGCUUGAACGCCUACAGCCCACACGCCUCCGGUCUUUUGUCUCAGCUCUCCAUCAGGCUUCCUGAUCCCC